rnacentral:misc_RNA from 1 species
CUCUAUUUGCCCCCAAAUUGGCAUAACAUGCCCCAUUCGGAUGACGUUUGGCGUUUCAAGCAUGUCUCGCAUCUUGCAACCCAAUGUCUGUGAGGAAUGU